rfam:Triticum urartu cultivar G1812 contig1233628, whole genome shotgun sequence.
CUACUACUCCCCCCGUCCUAAAAUUCUUGUCUUAGAUUUGUCUAAAUACGGAUAUAUCAAGUCACGUUUUAGUAUUAGGUACAGCUGUAUCUAGACAAAUGUAAGACAAUAAUUUUGGGACGGAUGGAGUACAUU